GACGAACGCUGGCGGCGUGCUUAACACAUGCAAGUCGAACGGAAAGGCCCUGCUUUUGUGGGGUGCUCGAGGGGCGAACGGGUGACUAACACGUGAGUACCCUGCCCUUGACUUUGGGAUAACUUCAGGAAACUGGGGCUAAUACCGGAUAGGAGCUCCUGCUUCAUGGUGGGGGUGCGAAAGUUUCGGCGGUUGGGAGUGGACUCGCGGCCUAUCAGCAUGAUGGUGGGGUAGUGGCUGAGCAAGGCUUUGACGGGUAGCCGGCGUGAGAGGGUGAGCGGGCUCAUUGGGACUGAGACUGGGACACGACUCAGACGCGAGCCAGAAGUGGCGAAUAUUGCAAAAGGGGAGGAAGCGUGAUGCAGCACCGCCGAGUGCGCGAUGACGGCCUUCGGGUUGUAAUUCUCAUUCGCCUGUGCCCAAGCGUGAGAGACCGUAAUGGGUAGAGAAGGCCCCGCUAACUACCUG
rnacentral:rRNA from 1 species